CGCGGCGUACGGCUCAGUAGCACGUAGUCAACCUAACUUGAAGACGUGAACAAUCCCGGGAAACUGGGGCUAAUUCACGAUAGAUUCAGGGUUCUGGAAUGGCCUUGAGUCCAAAAGGCUGGAGGAGCAUGCUUCUUCAGUCGCUUCAAGAUGGGACUGCGGCCGAUCAGGUUGUUGGCGGGGUAAUGGCCCACCAAGCCUAUAACCGGUGCGGGCUCUGAGAGGAGGAGCCCGGAGAUGGACACUGAGACAAGGGUCCAGGCCCUACGGGGCGCAGCAGGCGCGAAACCUUCACAAUGCGCGAAAGCGCGAUGAGGCUAUACCGAGUGUCACCCGCUGAGGGUGACUUUUCCUUGAUGCAAAAAAUCAGGGGAAUAAGGGGAGGGCAAGCCUGGUGUCAGCCGCCGCGGUAAUACCAGCUCCCCGAGUGGUCGGGACGAUUAUUGGGCCUAAAGCAUCCGUAGCCGGCUUCACAGGUCUCUUGUUAAAUCCAACGGCUCAACCGUUGGACUGCAGGAGAUACCAUGGAGCUAGGGGGCGGGAGAGGCGGACGGUACUCCAUGGGUAGGGGUAAAAUCCUUUGAUCCAUGGAAGACCACCAG
rnacentral:rRNA from 1 species